CAGUCGCCGCGGUAAUACAGAGGCCUCAAGCGUUGUUCGGAUUCAUUGGGCGUAAAGGGUGCGUAGGCGGUUCCGUAAGUCGGAUGUGAAAUCCUGGGGCUCAACCCCAGAACUGCAUUCGAUACUGCGGGGCUAGAGGACUGGAGAGGAGAGUGGAAUUCACGGUGUAGCAGUGAAAUGCGUAGAUAUCGUGAGGAAGACCAGCGGCGAAGGCGGCUCUCUGGACAGUUCCUGACGCUGAUGCACGAAGGCCAGGGGAGCAAACGGGAUUAGAUACCCCCGUAGUCCCUGUCUCUUAUAC
rnacentral:rRNA from 1 species